UACGAGAGGCCCAAACGUUAUUCGGAAUUACUGGGCUUAAAGAGUUCGUAGGCGCCAACUAAGUCAGACGUGAAAUCCCUCGGCUCAACCGGGGAACUGCGUCUGAUACUGGAUGGCUUGAAUUCGGGAGAGGGAUGCGGAAUUCCAGGUGUAGCGGUGAAAUGCGUAGAUAUCUGGAGGAACACCGGUGGCGAAGGCGGCAUCCUGGACCGAGAUUGACGCUGAUGCGCGAAAGCCAGGGGAGCAAACGGGG
rnacentral:rRNA from 1 species